rnacentral:rRNA from 1 species
UACGUAGGGCGCGAGCGUUGUCCGGAAUUAUUGGGCGUAAAGAGCUCGUAGGCGGCCUGUCGCGUCCGCUGUGAAAACCCGGGGCUCAACCCCGGGCUUGCAGUGGAUACGGGCAGGCUAGAGGCAGGCAGGGGAGAACGGAAUUCCCGGUGUAGCGGUGAAAUGCGCAGAUAUCAGAAGGAACACCGGUGGCGAAGGCGGUUCUCUGGGAAGGUUCUGACGCUGAGGAGCGAAAGUGUGGGGAGCGAACAGG